CAAUAGCGUAUAUUAAAGUUGUUGCAGUUAAAAAGCUCGUAGUUGAAUUUUUACUUGCCGCCGAUGUCGGAACUUCCGUACGUUCGGCGGCGUGCAUCCUUGGGUGGAGCCUGUGUGGCAUUAGGUUGUCGUGCAGGGGAUGCUCAUCGUUUACUGUGAAAAAAUUAGAGUGUUCAAAGCAGGCUUACGCCGUUGAAUAUAUUAGCAUGGAAUAAUAAGAUAGGACCUUGGUACUAUUUUGUUGGUUUGCGCACCGAGGUAAUGAUUAACAGGGACAGUUGGGGGUAUUCGUAUUCCAUUGUCAGAGGUGAAAUUCUUGGAUUUCUGGAAGACGAACUACUGCGAAAGCAUUUACCAAGGAUGUUUUCAUUAA
rnacentral:rRNA from 1 species